rnacentral:rRNA from 1 species
AGACCCCUUGAAGACGACGAGGUAGAUAGGGCAGAGGUGGAAGUGCAGUAAUGCAUGGAGCUGACUGUUACUAAUCGGUCGAGGGCUUAUCCAG